AUAGCGUAUAUUAAAGUUGUUGCGGUUAAAAAGCUCGUAGUUGAACCUUGGGCCUAGCCGGCCGGUCCGCCUCACCGCGUGCACUGGCUCGGUUGGGCCUUUCCUUCUGGGGAACCCCAUGCCCUUCACUGGGUGUGGUGGGGAACCAGGACUUUUACUCUGAAAAAAUUAGAGCGUUUAAAGAAGGCCUAUGCUCGAAUAUAUUAGCAUGGAAUAAUAGAAUAGGACGUGUGGUUCUAUUUUGUUGGUUUCUAGAGCCGCCGUAAUGAUUAAUAGGGACAGUCGGGGGCAUCAGUAUUCAAUUGUCAGAGGUGAAAUUCUUGGAUUUAUUGAAGACUAACUACUG
rnacentral:rRNA from 1 species